rnacentral:rRNA from 1 species
UCGAGGAUCUUCGGCAAUGGGCGCAAGCCUGACCGAGCGACGCCGCGUGAGCGAUGAAGGCCUUCGGGUCGUAAAGCUCUGUCGUGGGGGAGAAAAGGGUUAAACCUUGAUCGACCCCAGGAGGAAGCACGGGCUAAGUUCGUGCCAGCAGCCGCGGUAAGACGAACCGUGCGAACGUUAUUCGGAAUCACUGGGCUUAAAGGGCGCGUAGGCGGGUCGGUAAGUCAGGGGUGAAAUCCCACGGCCCAACCGUGGAAGUGCCUCUGAUACUGCCGGCCUCGAGGGGGAUAGGGGCGUGCGGAACUCAGGGUGGAGCGGUGAAAUGCGUAGAUAUCCUGAGGAACACCGGUGGCGAAAGCGGCGCGCUGGAUCCCUUCUGACGCUGAGGCGCGAAAGCCAGGGGAGCAAACG